GAUACAUCCCUAAUGGUUGGAGAGAUGGAGAAUGUCAUGGGAGAGAGAACCUGCAGAUCCUUGCCUGAGACAAGUUGUGGAAAGAAAGUUUUACAGUCCAUUUUGAAUCAAGGAAGACUCAUUGAAGACUCCACUGAGAAGAGUCUACUUUGAAGAAGGCAAACAGACCAAAAGGGUGAUAGAAACGUGCAGUUCUGUUGUGUGGGGAACAGUGUGAACUUCCUGAAGGCAAACAAACAAAAAGGAUGGGAGAAACAUGCAGUUCUGUUGCAUGUCUAACACUGACCUUCCUGGACUCAACAUUGGGAACUGAGAAGGGAGUUUAGAAAUGACGGAAUUUUGUGAGCUUUAAAGAAAAAAUGCUGGUCUUUAGUGUGGACAGACAGUUGGACUUCAGAUCUAGGACUGUGUGUAGUCAUCAGUCUUGAACAUUCAGAAACACUUCUUUGUUCUUUAUGGAUGAUGGUAGCUGGCUUUCAUUUCAGCAGUGCUUCCAAGAUGAAUACACAUAAAUAGUGUCUGCCAAAACCUAAAACAUACAGUCUGUAUUUAUUACUAGAGCGUUGUAAUGUAUCCCUCUUGUAUUUAAAAAUUUUAUACUACUCAACCUUAAUUGUGACUUUUUGUCAAUAAAUAACCUUUCAAAAGAAGUAUGGUUCCUAUUCAUGUUGUAAUCAACUCUCUAAUUUGUACCAUAGACAGCUUAAUAGAAUUGAAAUUUUAUUUUUUCUUGAUAUUGAGUAUGCAGUUUAUGGUACAUGAACUUACUGUUUGUUUUUCUUCAGAUUUUUCUGAGACUUUAUAUUGCAUUUAUAUUUUUUACAAUAGCAAUUUUAAUACUAAAUGUAUUGUGAUGUUAGAGAAGAUGAUUUUAGCAGAAUACCUUUUAUUUCUUCUGUGACAAUUCCAUACAUGUAAACAAUGUAUUGUGAUCAUAUUCCUCCCCAGCUCUCCAUUCUCAUUCCCUCUAAGUACUCUCAGCUUGUCUUCCUUUCACAGUGAUGUCCUCCUCCUGUAAUUCACUGAAUCCAAGUAAUAUUGACUGGUGUUACUUCCUUGCCCUUGUGCCAGUAACCAUAGCUACAGCAAGUUCACAAGUGUAGCUGUUAUGCCAUGUCUAGAGAUAGCAUUUCACAAUAUUCCUCCCCAUCUUUGUCUUUUACCUUCUUUCUUCCCUCUCUUCCAUGAUGUGUCCUGAGCCUUGAGUGGGGUAUGUUGAUAUUGAUGUCCCAUUUAGGUCUGAGCACUCAACAGUAACUUACUCUCUGCACUUUGGUCAGUUAUGAGUCUAUGUACUGGCUGCUGACUUUUGCUGAGAGAAGAUUCUUUGACCAAGAUUGAACACAACACUAAUGUAUGGAUAUAAUCAUAAAUACUUAAAAGUCAAUUUAAUGACAUGUUCAUUUAGUAAACCAACAGUAGGAGGUUUCCCCCUAGGAUGUAUGACCUCCUGAGCCAUGGGCUUUUGACCAGGUUUAUAGUACCAGGCAUGGAUUCCUCUUUCCUGUGGAGCAGACCUCAAAGUGGUUGGUUAUUGGAAUAAUAUUUAUGAUACUAUUGUACCAUUGGGCACAUCUUGCCUGGAAGGGUUACUGUAGCAUGCAGCUGGGUAACACUGUUGUUGGAUUUUCCCAACCACCAACCUGUAUAGCACCUUCUAUCAUUAUGAGAGCUAGCUAGCAGAAAGUUUUCAGGUCAGUUCAAGUUUGAUUUCUCAAUCUUCUGUAAACAAAGUGUGCUAUGUCUUCAUAGGGUCUUAACCAUCUAGCUCUGGUGGGAAAACAAGAGAGAAAUGGCAGUAGCCUGUGUUGUUUGGGGGUCUUUCCUGAUUAGUAACUUAUAGGCAGGUAUUCCACAUCUAGCACUGAGAGUUUUAUUUAGUAAUCCAUUUUCCAUCCAUGCAUGUUAAGUAUGUUAAAAUUCCUUUUAAAAAGGAAAUUAUAUGUGCAUAUAUAUAUAUAUAUAUACACACAUAAAUAUAUAUAGUUUGUUUGUUUUUUGAGACAGGGUUUCUCUGUGUAACAGUCCUGGCUGUCCUGGAACUUGCUUUAUAGGCCAUGCUGGCCUUGAACUCAAAAGAGCCACCUGCCUCUGCCUCCCAAGUGCUGGGAUUAAAGGCAUGCACCACCACCACCUGGCAAGAAAUUAUAUUUUUAAAUUAGCUUACAAAGUGGUGGGUUUCCUAAGUUUUUUAAAUACACACGCUCGUACCCACACACCCUUCUUCCCUCCCUCCCCCUUCCUUCCUUCCCUUAGUUUUAGUAGCUCAUUCCCAAUCCCUCCUCUUCUGUCUUCUCAUCCCAAUCCCUGCUUAAACCUUUAGCCCCCAAUAUUGCUUCACUCUAUUUUGGUAAUGCGUGUUUUACUAUCUCCUCACCUCUUUAAAGCCUCUUUUCCCCCAGAGAGUGAUUUGUAUUACUUGUAUACUAAAAUUUGACAAAUUGAUAUCAGAUUUUGGAAAUUAUUAUAAAAGUAUGGAAAGAAUCUUAUAAAUUGAUUUGAAUGAUACAAUAAAAUGUGGGGAUACUGUUAUACAAUAAGAUGUGAAAAUAUGCAUGAAGAACUAAAACAGGAAAAACUGACAAAAAUCAGAUUAAAUAAGUAGACGUUCAUAAAUUGUUAGCUUAAGAAAAAAAAAUAGCAGUUUAAAAAGUACCCUAAACUGCUGGGCCGUGGUGGUGCACGCCUUUAAUCCCAGCACUUGGGAGGCAGAGGCAGGGGGAAUCUCUGAGUUCGAGGUCAGCCUGGGCUACAAAGUGAGUUCUAGGAAAGGUGCAAAACUACACAGAGAAACCCUGUCUCGAAAAACCAAAAAAAAAAAAAAGUACCCCAAAUUAUUUCAUAGUUGAGAUCUUAAUGUAUAUUUUUAAAACAUUACAGUUAUUAGCUUGUUUCUAAUUCAACCUGGUCAAACCUGAACUCAUCAUCUUUCCAAACCUGAUCCCCUUUGAACUUUUCUGAAGAAAUGUAUCCAGUUGUUUGAAAUCAUCUACUACUUUCCAGUGACAGCUGUAUCAUUUCUUCUAAAUUGUUAGGUUUGUUUCUUUUUAAAUGUCUUUGAGUCUCUAUUUCUAUCCCUCUUACCCUAAACAUUUAUUGGGAUUAUAAUGGUAGUUUCACUUAUUUGCUAAAGCUCACCCAUUCUGUAGGCUUCUCAGAGGAAGCUAAAAGAAAAAGCAGAUCGAAUUACAGCUUGCCUCACUUCCUCUCCCUUAAAAUUCAUCUUCCAUAAAGGACUCAUCCAACGGCCUUUUAUAACAGUAAACAUCAAUUUGGUUCUCUUUUCUGAGCCAACACAAAGGUGGUAUUUCCUGUCUGUGAAAUGAGUUGGUUUAUAGAAGCUGUUGCAGCAGAAGAGAUGUAGAAAAGAAAAGGUAGUCAUUGGAAGAAAGCAAGAGAUUUUCCUUCCUGUGUAUAGAAGAUACUGCUGUUGAAACACUGACGGAAAUUGGAAUUACCCACUUUACUGAAUUGCCAAUUAAAUGUAAUAUUUAAUUAUUUUCUCCUUUUCUAGGCUGAAUAAUAGAUGCCACUUAGAUUUAAUUAGUCUCUGGAACUUGAUUGAAAUGCUUGAAAAGUUAUUAAUUGGUAGUUUUAGAUAUUUUCAUGUUAUCUCUAUGUGAUACUAAUUUCUAGUAUGAUUUAUUCAAGAUUCACUUAAUCUUUCAUUUCAAAUAAGUACUGGCUGUAGCUCAGUGGUAGAAUACUUUCUAGGUCCAUGAGCCCUUGUGCCUAUUCUUAGUGUUGCAAAAGAAAUAACAACAACAAACCAAGCAAGUAGAAUAAUGUGCAAAUUACAUUUCAUCAAAGGUGUUAAGAUAAACAGAAACGGCUUCAUAAAUGCUAAAAUGUUUUACUUUGAUAUUUAGUCAUCUUAUCCUGAAGUCAAGAUAAAGAAUUUAGUAAAAUUGUAUCAACUACAAACCUGCCUUUCAACAAUAGACUGUGAAACUCUUAAUGUUCGCCUUCCUUUUCAUCAUUUUGCAUGUAGAGAGUUUAUUUGACUCUCGUUGAGAGAAUGAAUUCAUCCUUAAAUAGUGUUCUUUCUAAUUUUCAUCCUCAGAGAUUAGUUUCCAAAUUGCUCCUUGGUGGUUGUACAGAUCUUUCUCUGUCAAAAUGGUUCACUUACAGUUCUAAAGACUUGAACCUCUCACUCCUGUCCCACCCCCACAAGUUCACACACCAUUAGGCAUUUCACUUAACCAAGACAGCAAUCCUCCUACCUUGAAACUCAUAUUAAAAAGUCUUGUCAAAUGAUUUUUUUGUAUGAUGAAUUUUCAUAUUCUAGAAAUAGCUCAAGGUGAAUAUUCCAUUUGAUACUGCUUUCUAGUUGAAUUAUUAAGUGUUCUUCAAAUAAAAUUGCCAGUCAUCACCAGCUUAUUUCUUGAAAUAGGAUCUUUAAGUUUAGCUUUCACAUGUUUAUUUAUGGUGACUUGUGUUAGUAUUGUAAAGGCAUAAAACUGUGUCUUUUUAUUGCUUCCAUGUAGAAAUGGACCUGCCCAUAAACAGCAAACUGCAGUUUAUUCUAUCAAGGCUGUUGUUGGUUUCCCCAUCUCUGACCACUAUGGCUGUGCAUUUGGGGAAGCAGACACAUCUUCACUUUCUGGAGCUUACAGGCUAUAUGUCACAACACCUUGGCCUGUCCCUGGCAUACAUGCUGUUUACCAAAUGCCUCCCUAUGAAAUAUUCAGCAUGUUAUUGACAGUGGGCUGAUAUUGGUUCCUGAAAUGAUAUGUUCAAGUUCAAAUUCCCAGAACCUGUGGUGACCUAACUUAGCAUAAGGACUUUUGUCUGUUUCUAAGAUUGAUAGCCCAGAGACAAAGAGGGCAUUUGGAUUACCUGGUUGGCCUAAGUCAAUGACUAGUGUCAUGGUGAGAAACAAGGGAAGGGACAGGAACAGGACGAAACAUGGGGUACCAUGGCCACAAGCCAAGAGGCAUUUGGAACCAUCAGAAGGUGAGAGGUGGGAAGGAUCCCACCCAGAGACCCUGAUGGAAGUGAAGCCUGUCUGCAUAUUGGAAGAAGUAAUUUGUUUCCUAGGUUUGUGACUCUUAAAAGUAGGUAGAGUUCAUUGAAUUCAGAAGAUAGUCUUCUUCGAGUUUGUAGAGUCAUAAGGGAAGUGCCAAACUGUUUGAAAUGGCUAAGCUGUCAUGGCUGUUGGGGACUUGUUAGGUAAACUCCUUUCAGCAUUUACUGAGAGCUUGCUCCUUGGUCAACUGCUUGCUAAUGUAAAAAGGGCUCUCUGAUGGAGGAUGUUUGUAGAGAGUGAUUUCUGCCAGUGGUAAAAGCUUUCAAAGGAUGAUUCUUAGAUAUUACGAAGAAAACUUAGAGUAGAUGUAGAAGGAUGAAAAAUUCCAUGAGUAGUGAGUUAAAAGAUUGGGUAGAUGUGGACAUCCUAACGCUGUGAAGGAAAUUGCCUGGUAAGUGACAUUGUUACAGUAAAAACGCAUAGAAAACUGGAGGGUGGAAGAUGCAUCUGCAAAAAACACAGGGGUUGUUUAGUCAUAAGAAGUCCUCUUGGCCUUGGGUAGCCCCUUAUUUUGGAGUAAAGAGGGUCUCUUGAAGUGGUUAGUUUUGGCAUUUGCAAUUGAAAGGGAACAUUAUAGUAAGAUUGGGGGAAGAACUGGAGGGACAAAAUUUAAGACUUAAGCCCAAGAAGCCCCAGUUUCCUUAAGAGAUCUAGAGGGUAAGAUGAACAUGGGCGGUAGAAGUGCUCUGAUGCUCCGAGAGAGGUUGGUUCUGUAGAGAAAAGACAUGAAGCACAUUUCUCUUACCCUGAGGAAUUCUCACUUGAAAAUUUGGUAUCUGUGUCUUAUUAACAUAACAGUAUCACUGAUUUUGAAAACUGGUGGCAGUUGCACUAGUACCAGAAAGAAAAGAAUGAACCAGCAUUUCUGUCAGAUAGACUGGGCAUUGCCUACUAACAGCAAGGAGGGUUAUAAGUAACCGUACACUUUCAAGGAAAAGUGAAGAGUUAAGAUUGACCCUGUUAGAUUGAGAUGUUUAUAGAAUUAAAAAAAAUAUAUAGCCCACUAAAUGAGCAGGUUUAAGAAGUUGUGUAGAGAUUGAGAUAUGGAAAACCCUCUGUGAAGUGAGUUUUAAUGUCACAAGACUAAAGAUGGAAUGCAAGGAGCAAUAAGCUUUGACAAGGACUGCUGAAAGGGACUGUAGGGAACAGUUGACAACAGAAGAAAUCAGUGCUUUGGGUCAAUACAUUGGUAUUUGACCAAUGAAUAUUUACCUUCCUUGGAUGCCAAUGAGAAGUUUUAUGAAGUAGUCCUUCAAAUGUGGCUCUGGUAAGUUUGUCAAGAGUUUCAAAGAAGCCAGAAAACUGAGUUGUGACAAUUCAGGCAAUGGUGCUCUCUGACCAGAAGUCAUUCUUGCCAUUUUCAUUCAUUAAAGGUGUUUCUCAAUGCUCAGUGUUCCAACUGAACAAUCUAUUUAUAGACACAUGUUUGAGAAUAGUCCUAUAUGGGAUACAAUAAUUUUAUUACUGUCAAAUAUAUAUGUAAAUCAUAAAAAUAUAAAGGUCUAUGUGAUCAUUUCAAAUGGCAAGGGUUCUGUGUACCAAAGCUAGUAUGGAAAACAGUAUUUUUAUAUUUAUACACUUUCCUUUUUAAUCUUAUAGUUGUCUGUUUUGUGAAAUUGAAGCAAAUAUCUAUACAUUUUAGUUAAAAAGUGGGCAUUGAUUUUCUUACUUAAUCAUGAUAUCGUGUUUUAAACGUGCUUCAAAGUUAUUCAACCACAAGAACACAUUUUGUUUUACUACCUAAAAAACGAGCAUUAAUAGUGGAGUGGGUUGUAGUUUUUGUGGUACCUCCUCAAGCAACUUUUUUUUAUAAUCUUUGCAAUGCCGCCCUCUAGUGACGGCUUUCCAACAUGCAUCAUUUGAGAAGUGGGCCCUAUCUGGAUUUCACUAGUUCUUUGCCUUAGCCUGUGUUUUCCCCUUCUCAUUGGGUAGUUUUGUUCUUCAUGCCAUGGUUUUUUAAAUUAUUAUUAUUAUUAUUAUUAUUAUUAUUAUUAUUAUUAUUAUUAUUAUUAUUAUUAUUUUGGUUUUUUUUUUUUGACGGGAUUUCUCUAUGUAGUUUUGGUGCCUGUCCUGGAGCUUGCUCUGUAGACCAGGUUGGACUCGAACUCACAGAGAUCUGCCUGCCUCUGCCUCCCGAGUGCUGGGAUUAAAGGCAUGUGCCACCACUGCCCAGCAGUUUUUAUUAUUGAAUGACAUAAGGAAGAGAUCAUGAGCUUUGGAGCAAAAACUAAAAUUAAUCGUGAAUUGUCACACUUUCUUGUAUUAACCUGUGCAUUCCUUAAUAAUCAUCAACUUUAUUCAGUGUAAAAAAUGACCCAUUGAGUAUAGAAUUUUCUUAUAUUAGUCUGCUCUAUAGAUGAAUAAAGUCCCUUUAUUAUUGUCAAUUUAUGUUUUAGAAUUUUUCUGUUCAGAUAUUUAAUUAGGUUGGAAAUAUGUAUAUAUUUGUUUUUUUAGGCCCUGUAAUUUGUUUUGAACUGUAUUUUCAUACUCUCUAAUCAAAUAAAUUAGUUUUUUUCUAGGUUUUUCUAAUAAUUUAGUUUUCCAGUCUCUCUCCCUGCCCCCCGUGUGUGUAUAAGUUUACUGUUUACUUCUUAGUGCAACUUUGACUAAAUGCCAUUAUCUGUAUCUAUAUAUCUGUAUUUAUAUCUGUAUCUAUACAGAUAAAGUUUGUCAUUAUUUGGUUUUCAAUAAAAAAGACCUGUAAUUUCCUUGAUCUAAAAGGUACUUAGGGGCCAGGAUAUGACUCAGUUGGUAAAGUGCUUGAAGUGCAAAUGUAAAGACCUAAGUUUGAAUCCUAAGCACCUAUAUAAAAGUUGGGCAUGGGGACAUGCAUCUGUAUCCUGAACAAGGCAGAUCUCCAAUGCUGCCUAGCCAGUCAGUGAGUUCUGGAUUCUAUGAGAGACUUUGUCUCAAGAAAUAGGGUGGAGAGUUCGAGAAGAGCAACAUUUGAUGUUGACUUCUGGCCUCUGUGUGCACACACACAUACAGUACUUAUGCAUACAUCACAACAAAAACAAAAACUGUUUAAAAUGAUUUCAGGUAUUUUGAAAUUGUGAAAUAUGUGUGUUUAAAAUAUUAUUAGAAUAAAAUGUGAUUUUUUCCUAAGAAUUUAUUUUUCUUUUGAUACAUUUUAAGCAGUAUUUAAAAUGUUUCCCAGCCAUUGAGGAACAAGGUGCACUUUCUGUGGGUUAUAAGGUGUUGUGUGUGUAUUACUUAGAUAUACUUCAUUUAUGACUGCUUCAACCAUUGUGUACUUAGGAGAGUUAAAGUUAUAUGUUACUGUUGUUUGCUUAUCAUUUUCUCAGUUCCCAACAUGUUUUAGUUAUACACAUUAUUUGAUUCUUAAAAAGUUCAUUAUUGAUACCUUCAUAGUGGGUUUUACUUUUUGCUAAAUAACAGUAUUCUUUUUCAAUAAAUUUUGCAGGUCAUUUGGCUAGCCAAAUCGGAGGAGAAGAAACUUGACCUUGUUUCCCACUGUGCACAAUUAUUGAAAUUUUAUAUGUGAAAAGCAAAAUAAUGAAGCCUCUAGAUACCUUCCUUGUCUUCAAGUAGGCUAGCAUUUCUUCCUUUUUUUUUUUUAAAGCCUGGAGAAUGAGUUAACUGUCUCUAGAGAGGAGAGUAUUGGAGUUCCUUCCAGCACUUACUCCAAAGAAAGGAAGCAUAGAAAGUGUUUCCUUUUAAAAAAUUUUAAGUCUUUUUUGUUUCUAAAGUUUUAUGAUUUUUCUUUAUAUCCUAGGUCAUGCAUAUAUGUCUUGUUAUUGCUUUUCAGGAUUGUAUAACCUUUUCUGUAUUUUCACCAUUUCAUAUACACAUAUAAUUUAUUGUGAUUAUAUUCAGUUUCCCUUAUUUUUUUCUGCCAUCUCCUUCCUUUCCCUCUUUCCCUCUUCUUCUUACCUAGUCUCCCAGUGGCUACACCAUUAGAGAAAAUGACCUCCUCUUUCCCAGAAUCCAUUAACAGUUACUAGCUCCUCAGGAAUGGAUGGAAUCUCAUGGUCACCUCCUCUAGUCGUGAUGGAAAGUUGGAGGACCUAGAUAAGUGCAAGCAUCCACAGCUGCUGUGUGUUCAUGGUUGUAACGAUAGUGUCACAUCUGGAUGGCAGCAUUUCAGAACAGUCCUUGCCAUCCUCUGGCUCAUUAUGUUUUCCUCCACUCUCUUGUGUGAUGCUCCUUGGUCCUUAAGACAAAGAGUGGUGGUGAUGUCCUAUUUAAAGUUGAUCACUUAUCGGUCACAUAUUUACCAGAUAGGUGUCUCUUCAUUAACCACUACCUCUGCAGAAAGGAGCUUCUCUGCCCGUUCCUGAGAGCUGCACUAGUCUAUGGACAUAAACAUAAAUAUGUAGAAGGCAGUUUGAUAUGUUCAUUUAGGGAAACAAUACUGUGUUUUGCUUGGAUCUAUUCCUUCCCCCUACCAUGGGUUUUGGACAGGGUUUAUAGUAACAGGCAUGUACUAUAUCCCUUCAAUCAGAAUGUCUGUUUUAAAAAAAUAACAGAUUCUUGUGAGGUUGUGUGGAAAAAGGGAACUCACAUUCAGUGUUGGUAGGAGUGUAGAAUGGUACAGUCACUAUAGAAUUCAGUAUAGUAGUUUGUCAAAAAGCUAACUAUAGAAUUUACAUAUGAUCCAGCUACCACACUUGAGUAUAUACUUGAAGGACUUUAUGACCUAUGACAAAUAUACUAGUAUAUCCGUGUUCAACAGGUGUCUGUGUAGUAGCUAGGAAAUGAAACCAGCCUAGGUGUCCACCAUCUGAAGAAUGAUAAUGAAAAUGAAAUACAUAUACAUAAUAGAAUUCUAGUCAGCCUUAAGGAAAUAAAACUAUGAAAUUUGCAGGAAAACAAAUGCAACUGGAAAAUACUGUACUAUUUAAGUAAACCCGGCACAGAAAGAUGCUGUUCUUCCUCAUAUGUAGAUCCCAGCUUUGGAUAUCGAGUUCUGUAUUUAAAUUUGAGUCAGUAUUUAUCGGGGCUAGGAAGCAAGAAAGGGGAGAUGAGCAACUAAUGAAGAAGAUAUAGUAAAGCAUAGAGGGUAUGAAACUGUGUGUGUUGGGGGUAGAUGGGAAUACUAGGUGUUAAAAGGCUGACACAGGGUUGGAUCAAAGGGUUGAGGUAAGUGGAGUUGGAAGAGGGUUAACAAAAAGUAAGGAUUAGUGAUAAAGCCAUAUGUAAACUGCUACUUUAUAAACUAAAAAAUAUAUCUUAAAAAUUAUGCAACAAAAACAGCUUGCUGCGGUAAUUCUCCUUAUGGUUAGAUAAUGCUGCUUCCAGAAGUCAUUGAUUAUUCAACAAGAAUCUUUGUGCCAGGUGUGGGAUACCUCUGUAUGAAUUAUUGGCCAGCGAGGACACAGAGGCCCCUAAAAGGAUAGAUGCUAUUGCCAUUACUCUUGGUGACCUACCAGAACUAGAUAAUCCAGUAAGACCCUAUUCCUGAGGACACUAUUGUUAUCAAUUAUAUAAAGAAGGCUCUGGCGGGUAGAGAACCCAGGUGCCCCGUGGCAGCUAAGAGACAAAGAUGCCAUGCAGACCGUGCUCAGUGAAGAGGUUUAUUUAGUGGGGAGAAGUGAAAAGGGGGGAGAGGGGAAGAGAGAGGGAGCGGCCCGAGGGUCUGCACACCUCCUGGGAGGAAAGUGGAAGAGGGGAGGAGGGAGAGAGGAAGAGGCGGGGUUUUCCCUUAAGAAGAGGCUUCUAUGUCAGGGCAUAGGGUGGCGCCAAGGGGCGAGAUCAGAAUAUUAACAGCUACACAUUUUGACUACAGGACACUGAGAAAUCAAGGUAGAACUAAACUGGAGGCUUCCUCUCUGCUGGCUAGCAUUCAGUACCAGAAAGUCAGGCUGCUGGGAGAGAAAACUUACCAAGGAUCUAGCUGUAGACCAUGUGUGAUAUAAUACCUACCUUCCAGGCAAGAUAUGCCCACCUGUGUAAUAGAGUCAUAACUAUUCUGGGGAUAACUAACUGAUUUGUGAUUGGAUUUAAACCUCACAUCAUGGGAGGGAAGCACACAUACGAUGCUUUAAGUCUGGUUAAAAGUAUUUCCUGCCAGGCGGUGGUGGCACUUGGGAGGCAGAGAGCCAGGCUGCUCUCUGUGUGUUCGAGGCCAGCCUGGUCUACAGAGUGAGAUCCAAGACAGGCACCAAAACAACACAGAGAAACCCUGUCUCGGAAAAAAAAACAACAACAACAAAACAAAACAACCCCCCCCAAAA